rnacentral:rRNA from 1 species
UACGUAGGGUGCGAGCGUUAAUCGGAAUACUGGGCGUAAAGCGUGCGCAGGCGGUUUGUUAAGACAGAUGUGAAAUCCCCCGGGCUUAACCUGGGAACUGCAUUUGUGACUGGCAAGCUAGAGUAUGGCAGAGGGGGGGUAGAAUUCCACGUGUAGCAGUGAAAUGCGUAGAGAUGUGGAGGAAUACCGAUGGCGAAGGCAGCCCCCUGGGCCAAUACUGACGCUCAUGCACGAAAGCGUGGGGAGCAAA